GCCAGAAUUACUUGCAGGAGUAACCUAGUGCCUAUAGCUAUGGCAGGUACCUGCAUCCUUGUUUUUGUUUAGUGGAUCCUCUAUCCUUCAGAGACUCUGGAACCCCUGUGCUCUUCUCCUCAUCUAGUGACCCUGAGGUGAUGGAGUUUUCAAGUCCUUCCAGAGAGGAAUGUCCCAAGCCUUCGGGUAGGGUGCCUUCAGCCGCUACAAGAGCAGAAGCAGUGGGCAUUGGAUGGAGCUGAGUACAGGACCAUACAGGCUAAUUGCACCGGCACAGAAUUUGCUACUUAAAUGGUACUUCUCUGAAGAAGAUGAGGAGGAAGGGGACAGGAUGACAUAGAGCCACUGACACUUUUCUUUGCCAAUUCUUUGGACCCUGACUUCUGCCCAUCCCUGACAUUUGGUUCCUGUCUUAAUGCCAGUGAAAUAAGAUUUCGCCGCCUAUCAUCUGCUAACUGCUACGGACUCAGGCUCAGAAAGGCCUGCGCUUCACCCAGGAAUCGGAUAUAACAUCAUCUGGGUACCCAUGGCCAGCUGUGACUUCUCCAUCCGCACCUACACCUAUGCAGACACCCCUGAUGAUUUCCAGUUGCACAACUUCAGCCUCCCAGAGGAAGAUACCAAGCUCAAGAUACCCCUGAUUCACCGAGCCCUGCAGUUGGCCCAGCGUCCCGUUUCACUCCUUGCCAGCCCCUGGACAUCACCCACUCGGCUCAAGACCAGGGGAGCGGGGAAUGGGAAGGGGCCACUCAAGGGACAGCCCAGAGACAUCUACCACCAGACCUGGGCCAGAUACAUUGUGAAGUUCCUGGAUGCCUAUGCUGAGCACAAGUUACAGUUCUGGGCAGUGACAGCUGAAAAUGAGCCUUCUGCUGGGCUGUUGAGUGGAUACCCCUUCCAGUGCCUGGGCUUCACCCCUGAACAUCAGCGAGACUUCAUUGCCCGUGACCUAGGUCCUACCCUUGCCAACGGUACUCACCACAAUGUCCGCCUACUCAUGCUGGAUGACCAACGCUUGCUGCUGCCCCACUGGGCAAAGGUGGUACUGACAGACCCAGAAGCAGCUAAAGGCCUGUGUGGGUUCCAAGUUCUGGGAGCAGAGUGUGCGGCUAGGCUCCUGGGAUCGAGGGAUGCAGUACAGCCACAGCAUCAUCACAAACCUCCUGUACCAUGUGGUCGGCUGGACCGACUGGAACCCAUCAUUGUAGACAUCACCAAGCACACGUUUUACAAACAGCCCAUGUUCUACCACCUUGGCCACUUCAGCAAGUUCAUUCCUGAGGGCUCCCAGAGAGUGGGGCUGGUUGCCAGUCAGAAGAACGACCCGGACGCAGUGGCACUGAUGCAUCCCGAUGGCUCUGCUGUUGUGGUCGUGCUAAACCGCUCCUCUAAGGAUGUGCCUCUUACCAUCAAGGAUCCUGCUGUGGGCUUCCUGGAGACAAUCUCACCUGGCUACUCCAUUCACACCUACCUGUGGCGUCGCCAGUGAUGGAGCAGAUACUCAAGGAGGCACUGGGCUCAGCCUGGGCAUUAAAGGGACAGAGUCAGCUCACACGCUGUCUGUGACUAAAGAGGGCACAGCAGGGCCAGUGUGAGCUUACAGCGACGUAAGCCCAGGGGCAAUGGUUUGGGUGACUCACUUUCCCCUCUAGGUGGUGCCAGGGGCUGGAGGCCCCUAGAAAAAGAUCAGUAAGCCCCAGUGUCCCCCCAGCCCCCAUGCUUAUGUGAACAUGCGCUGUGUGCUGCUUGCUUUGGAAACUGGGCCUGGGUCCAGGCCUAGGGUGAGCUCACUGUCCGUACAAACACAAGAUCAGGGCUGAGGGUAAGGAAAAGAAGAGACUAGGAAAGCUGGGCCCAAAACUGGAGACUGUUUGUCUUUCCUGGAGAUGCAGAACUGGGCCCGUGGAGCAGCAGUGUCAGCAUCAGGGCGGAAGCCUUAAAGCAGCAGCGGGUGUGCCCAGGCACCCAGAUGAUUCCUAUGGCACCAGCCAGGAAAAAUGGCAGCUCUUAAAGGAGAAAAUGUUUGAGCCCAGUCA
ensembl:lncRNA GBA1LP glucosylceramidase beta 1 like, pseudogene